rnacentral:rRNA from 1 species
UACGUAGGGGGCAAGCGUUGUCCGGAAUCAUUGGGCGUAAAGAGCGCGUAGGCGGUCCAGUAAGUCCGCUCUGAAAGUCCGGGGCUCAACCCCGGGAGGCGGGCGGAUACUGCUGGGCUAGAGUCCGGAAGAGGCGAGUGGAAUUCCAGGUGUAGCGGUGAAAUGCGUAGAUAUCUGGAGGAACACCGGUGGCGAAGGCGGCAUCCUGGACCGGCAUUGACGCUGAGUGAGCGAAAGCCAGGGGAGCAAACGGG